AUGUCUGGCGUGAUUGGGCACCUCCUCCACCAUUACCUCAAUGGCUGCAGCGGCUGCGGCUCCUCAUCGUCGUGGACCAUCGUCACGAAGGAGGAUAGGUGGCCCCAAAUCCCCAUCACAUAUUCACAUCUACUCUCCUCCGCCACCACAUUCUCAACCCCGCGCUCCCGUCCUGCCCCACCACCGCUCAAUCCACCUCCGGCCGCAGACCCGUCGCUCCCUGUGCGCCAGCGCCGCCGCGCUUACUCGCGGUCGCAGCACACAAGCGUAGCUAGUCAGCCAAGAGAGAAGCGAGAGACUAAGAUCGACAUGUCAGAAAUCGUCAACAACCUCCUCGGCAAACUCGCCGACCUACUGGGCGACGAGUGUCAGAAGCUCAAAGGGGUGGAGCAUCAUGUGCAGUUCCUCGAGGAUGAGCUCAGCGCCAUGAAAGCUCGCCUCGAGGAGCUGGGGCCAAGGGAUGAACUCAUCCCUCGACGAAGGACUGGCAGGGCCAUAAGUGUCAAUGCCAAUGCAGGUUUUAUUGAGAAGGUCACUCAAUUUCUCAAGAACCUGUGGGUGCGUUAUCAGUUUACAAGCCAGAUUCAAGAGCUCAAGGAUCGUGCCAUAGAGACGAAUCAUCGACGCAAAAGGUACAAGCGUGAUGAUAGCAGUAACUCUAGCUCUGACCUUGUGGCUGUCGAUCCUUGGAUGCCGGCACUCUACAGAGAGGCAGCCUGCCUUGUGGGUAUUGAUGCCCCAAGGGAAGAGCUUGUCCGUUGGCUGACAGAUAGUGAGCAAGAACU
rnacentral:rRNA from 1 species